CAUAAAAACAGUCUCUUGGCGCCAUCUAAUGGUGGAACAAUGUAACUAAAAUCACUAUCAUGAACACGCACUGUUUCUCAAUACUAAACACUAUUAUUAAAUAUAUUAUUUCUGUAAAAUAUUGAAUAAUAAUAUUUAAUAAACAACAACAACAAAAACAGCCAUAAAAAAAGUUGCUAGGCAAUUCAGUCAAAAGUACAAAGGCAGCACUCUGAUAUACAGCAUUGAAUUUACAUAAACAUAAAAUUUUGCCCAAACUAUCUUCUCUGGAACAAAUAAUAGAUUAAUGAGACCAAAGACUGCCCAUUAGAUUUACCCAAAAUGAAUUACAUCUCAUGUUUAACCACUGUAGAGACAUCAGAGCCAGCGGUAAAUUUCAGAGGAUCUGGCCCGAGGUGAGGCGCUGUUGGGCAGAUUCAUGAGCGUUGAAUGGCCACUGACAAUCUGGACCUCACAUGUCAGAAAACGUUGAAGCAAAUGUUCAAAUAGGCGUUAUCUUUAUUAACAAUCUGCAUAUCUGAACUUUAAACAAGUACAUUCUCGCCUGAAAACCUCUUACAUUCUACAUUCUAUGAUAAAUAAUAGUGAAUUUGGGUGUCUGCCAGGACGCUCACUGUAAGAAGCGGAUUGAUAUGAUUACAAACUGUGAAAUGGCUGCAUUUUAUUAGCAUAUUGGCUGUUUAUUAGUAUUUAUGAAGCAAAUAUUUAAUGCCUUAUUCUGCAUGACCAUAUUAUAGAUACAUGACCAUAUAAGACCUAGACCUAACAACUUAUCUUACUAACUAUUAAUAAGCAGCAAAGUAGAGAUAAAAGUCAUAGUUAAUAGUGAGAAUUGGUCCUUAAAAUAAAGUGUUACCACAUAUGGUAAUGUAUAUAUAUUUUGUCAUGAAUUAACCUUCCUUAAUCAUCCAGGUAAGUGCUUUCAGAUGAUCUUAGUAUAUGCCACUUUUUGGGAGGUUGAACCAUCAUUUCUGUAACUCUGUGCAAGGGUCGAUUUGAUUCAGGGGUGAAUGAGCAGAGAGCUGAUGAAUGAGACUUUCCUCAUCAUUGACGGUGCUCCAUUACAUUUGCCUGUCUGUGAUUGGACUGGACAGACUGGGGCGCAUUCCUGUUGUAUCACAUUUCAGCAAGGGUCAUUUGAUGAAAGAUGAGUGGAUGAACAGCUUGCUGCGAAUGGCUGAUUCUUCUGUUCCACAGAUCGGCUGCCUCACAUGCAUGCAUGCAUACGUCACCUAGUCCCUUUACUUGUCUUUCACAAACCUCCUACUACAAGGCUUCAUGGUAUGAGGGAAGUUAAAAAAAAUCUUGACUCCCUAAACAGCCUGUCCCAUAAAUAGUAGGGUUUAUGCAGCUCUGUUGCUGACCUGACAGAACUGGUCUCGGCCUGCGGAACCACAGAGAACAAAAAAGUUCAUUACACUGCAGUUCUGCUUUAGAUUUGUAGUCCUAAGUCAACAGAUCUUCAUGGAAACAGUUUCCAAGUAUGCAAAUGGAUCCCAGAGGCUUGAGUUCAGGUUUGCUGGAAGAUUUGCUAUGCUGAUCUUGAGAAUAUUUUUUAACGUUUGUACAUAUAUAUAUAUAUAUACCUUUCUUGAUAUUAAGAUAAAACAGUCUAGUCUACAGUCUAAAAUGCCUUGGGAAAAUAUACUUUUAUCUUUGGUCAAGUUUACUUAGAAUUUGCAAACAGGAUACAUCCUCCAUCUUACAGGAACACUAAGUGUUUCAUUGCAGUUUAACUGGUUUAUGCUGGUUAGUGCUGGUCUACCUGGUGGACCAGCAUAUCCAUGCUUUUUUUUAGCUGGUGAUGCUGGUUCACCAGUGUCCAUAGGCCAGAUGUCUGUACGCAAGUAGUGUUUUGGGGACAAACAUAGUUUUUGCUUUGAUAUUUCUCCAUUUAACACAUUAAUAAUGCAACAGAAAAAAAACAAAAAACAAUUGCCCGACUUAGCAUAAUACACUACUAACCAUAAUGGUAACAGAUUUCAGCAACCUUUGUACAUGUACCAUAUAAAAGAAAUAAAUCCAAACUUGUUUGCAAUAAGUGAAUAUGGUAAUUUUGUUUUUGCAGUUGUUUAAUCAUCCUCUGGUGAGAUACUGAUUUCAUCUAAGGCUGCGUUGCUAUCAGAAGCCUAUGGCGGUGUGUUUGAUGACUGUCAGGGGCAGCAGGGUCAAGGUCAACGUUCUUGUGAGAGGUGAAGCUAAAAUACCACAAAGUAAGAAAUCGUCAAAGCAAGAUUUGAAGAUGAAUACAAGCACUUUAAUAAUAUUUAUGUGAUGCUGGGAACAAGACUUGAUGAAUCAUUCUCAUAGUGGUCUCUGAUUCAAACUGCUCCUCUUCUUGUAGCUCUUAAACAGAAGCAUGGGGAAUUUUUUACCAGCAUUAGUGAAACUUUUUGUUACACUUUAUUUUAAGGUGUCCUUGUAACAGUGUAAUUAAACAUUUAAGUACUACUAUAUGGUUAGGGUUAGGAUUAGGGUUUGGUGUAGGGUUAUUUGUAUGUAAUUCUGCAUAAUUAAUUGUUAUUAUAAUAAUAAGUACAUGUAACGUAUAACAAGGACACUUUAAAAUAAAGUGUUACCAAACUUUUUUCUUUUUAGUCUUGGAAUUACAUUUACAAGACUUUAUUACAUUACUUAAAUUCUUUAUUAUUAUUUUGUGAUUUGAGUUUGAGAAAGGUACAUUACAAAAUGAAAUGUAUUUAUUGUUAUUGCAUUACCUUUAUAUUCUGUUAGACCACAGUGGGAUGCACUAGAUUUCAUGCACAUGCAUAUUUUGGUGUAUGCUUAUACUCAGAACUGGGCAGAUUAUACUUGAUUAUACUCUGCAUACAGAUUAUACUGUUACUGUAUAAUUGUUACUGAUUCCAAAUUACAUGACAAAAAUUGUAGUCAGUAACGUAAUCCAUUACAUUUUAGGUAAUCAGACUACUUUUAGAUUACUUUUGACCUCAUUUAUCACGUUUAUUUAAACAGGAUAAUCUUGUACUAUAAUGAUGUAAAAAUACAAAGAGUGAGAAUACAUUCCUUUCAUUGUAAUUAACAACAUGAAGUGCAUUAAACAUUAUAUUACAUUAAGAUUUCCCAAACUGCGGUUUGUAAAGCAACCACAAUGGGGUUGUGAGUUUAAUAAAAGGCUAACAAGUAAUUAAAUCAUAAAAAUAUAAAAUAAAAAUAAACCAUUUUAAAAUGAAAAUCAAAAUAAUAAACUUACUAAAAGAAAUGACAUAUUUUAUGUUUACCUGCAUGCCAUGUGCAAAUAUGAUGCUUAAUUAUUAAAACAUUUAUUUCAAAAUCUCAGGGGUACUUAAAGGGGUCAUUAUGAUUAUGAUUUCACUUUUUAACUUUAGUUAGUGUGUAAUGUUGCUGUUUAAGCAUAAACAACAUUUGCAAAGUUACAAUGCUCAAAGUUCAAUACAAGGGGAGAUAUUGUCUUUUACAGAAUUGCUGAUUGACCACCCCUUUAAAGUAGAGUUUCAGAUGACAAAAAGUUUGAGAAUGUCUGCAAAUAAGAAAUAACAAGAAUUUGUUUGAGAAUUUGAGAAUUUUCAUGAGUCUGAAAGACAAACACCUUUCAAAAAUACAUAAUAAUACAAGAAUAAAUAACCUACUGAGUGAUAAUUCAAAUAAAAAUGAAUGUGUUCAUCAGUAGUUUAUGUAAUGUUGAAACACUUAUGAAACCUGAAAUGAUUUUUGUAAAUCCAUUGAUCAAAUGCUGUGUUGCCACCUGACUAUUGACUAGUCUAUGUGUGAAUCAGUGUUAAUUUCGUUGACGAAGACUAUGACGAAAAAUAUUCGUCAACGAACAUUUUUUACAGACGAAAACUAAAUAAAAACUAAAUAAAAAGUCAGAUAUGAUGACGAAGACGAUGACGAAAUUUAACUGACACUUUAGUCAACGAAUAAAAACGAGAGGAAAAUGUUGGGGCGGGACGAAUGGAGAAGAGAUCCAAUAAGAACUACCCUUUUGUGGGGAAAUCCAAUCAGAGCGAAUCUUUUGAGGGCAGGUUGAUCUUGGCAAAGCCAUUUUCAAAAGCCGCGGUUUUCAAGUUAUGAGGACGUUUGUUAUACAUUAUAUUUAGUUAUACAUUAUACUUGGAUGCACAGUCUUGGUUACAAAGCUUUGGUUAAUUUAAGUUGACUUUUCUCGCUAGCAACACGCUAACGUUUUGUGCACGCGGUCCGAGGGCAGCGGUAUGUCUCAUGAACAGACAGACAGACAGAAAUGUCAGAGCUUGGUCUAGGAUGUCAUAUGCGUUUCAUAUAAUUCAGGUAGCAUGUAUAUUGUUCAGGGAGAGCAGGUCUUAUGGUUAUUUUUGUGAAAAAGGCUAAUGUUUUUGACAUUUAAUAAAAUAAAUGUUUUGUAUUACAACAAUUAGAUAUGUGCCUGUAUUCUCUAUAUGCUUCCAUAUAUUGUAAUAUACUUACAAUUACGUGAAUUAUGGAGAAAAAUAUGCUAAUAUUUGGUCUACUAAAACUAGACUAAGACUAAAAGACUUAAGACUAAACUAAGACUAAAACUCUUAUGAUAUUUAGUCAACUAAACUAGAUUAAGACUAAAAGAUUUCAGAUGACUAAAAUAGGACUAAAACUAAAUGGUGUAUUAUUCCAAAGACUAAGACUAAGACUAAAUCAGAAUUUGCUGUCAAAAUUAACACUGGUGUGAAUGUCCACAAAACUGUACUUUCUGAGUGUAUAUAAGCGGUAGACUAGUUUACAAAUUACAAUUUAAAAGAUAAAAAAGAGGAAUUAGAGAAAAUCAAUAAAUGAUGAAUACUUUAUUGCUGUUGUGUGAAUAAUAUGUAAUCAUGAAAUCAAUAAAAAAGUAACUGUAGUUUGAUUACAAGUAUUUUAAAAUGUAACUUACUGUAAUUACAAGUACUUAAUUUUUGGAAUUUGAUUAUGUAAUCCAGAUUACAUGUAAUCAGUUACUACCCAGCUUUGCUUAAACUAGUAUGUAGAAUGGUCAUACUAGAUUAUGUUUAUAGGGCGUGACUUAAAUAUAUCUUCAACUUACUUGUCACUUUCUGCAUCCAUUUCUUGUUACUGAAAACGGCAACGUUUUCAGUUCCUCAUUAGCAAAUGUUUCACAAAACAGUCAUUCACAAAUGUCUAGUAUACAAUAGUCAACAUUUGAAGUGGAUUAAAAAAGUUCAUUAAAGUUGUCCUAAGACAAGAAUGGGUACUGUUUUGUUUUAGGACAACUUUGAUUAAAGGUUUUGAUCCACUUUAAAUGUUGACUAUUGUAGACAAUUACAGCUCAUAAACAAAUAAAAGUUAACCUGCAAAACUGCUCAGUGGCAGAUUCCUUGAUCAAAACUUUAAUAAAGUCAUUUUUGGACAGGCACAAAGCAUGCCACCUAAAUUCUGAAGUGUCUUUUAUACCUUAUGUGUUUUUAUGUUUUUUUAAUAUGUACAGGUCUUCAUCAUGCUGGGACUGUAAGCUAUAUAUGGACAUGUCUGAUUCAUUCAGACACUCACAUUCUGAAUGGACGUGGGUGUCACAAUUCACGUUCCUGGGGCGCAGUAACGACUCUAACAAACCUCAACAACUCAUUUCGAUAGUAUCGGUUUGACUAAUCCUUAACCAAGAUGUGGCAGCAAGUUGAGGCCACUGGUUACCCUUCUUACCCUCAUCUUAACAGAUUUGAAACUACACAACACAUGAGACAUCCAAUAGAAGAGCAGAAAAGUAUAGCUGACAGGAAGUAGAAAAAAAGGGACGGUAAGAUAUACUUUAGCAGCUUUGUGCUCAAGGCUAUGUUUUUAUGAGAAAAGAGAUAAAGAAUGCACCAGAAUUUGAUCUGAUGAAAUAUACAGUAAAUCACCUCUUCCAUCAUUUUGAGUCGUUCUGACCCAGAAACAUGCACUGAACAAAAAAAAGGAUAGUCUUUUUCUAAUAAUAUAACUGUAUAUAAUAAUUAAUCAUUUUUAAUGUAGCCUCUAAGAUUCCAAACAAUUUUUAGUUUUUAGACAAAAUUAGAUUUAAUCAAACAUAGAUUCAAUAAUUACAACAAUUUUAACAAAGGAAUAUUUUUAACAUAUAAUUAAAAAUAAAAUAAUACAAAUAUAGACUGAGUGAAUUGUGAAUUGUGCAAUAACAGAAUCUUGUCUCAUCGUCACUGAUGGUUUAUAAAUAGCACCAGCCCAUUAAGCCUUAAUAUAUCGUUAUCAGCUAAUCGCCGAUUACUGUUGCAGGACAGAAUAUCACUCAUUUAAUCUUGUUAUCUGAUCGGCUAAUGCCUGGCUACACAGAACUAAAUGUGUGUGUCUACAAUGAAAAUGAUUCAAAUUUUCCUUUACUUUGUGUACCUUUAAUGCAUUUUUUAAACUGGUAAAUAAAAUUAAUGUCUGACUCAUUUUGAUAUGACUGUAUUUUUUUACUUUGGAUUCGAUUCAGCCUUCAUAGUUCUACAGCUGUUAUAAACAGGAGAAAAGGAAAGUCGCUCUGUUCUGGCAGCUUCUCAAAGCUACCCUGAGGUGAAGUUGUUGACCUCGCUGACCGUGUCGUGCACUGGUUGACCGCCAACUCAUAGAGCCGGCAGCUGCUAAAAAGGUUGUGCUUGGAGCCAGCCAGGCCGCUUGGCAAAGUAAGCGUUCCAAGAUUCCCGAAUUCUAUGCCAGCUGAACAGGCAGAUACCUGCUUGUCAUGUUCCUGCAGAUCCACCCGUAUGUGAGAACGCCAGCAGGAAUCACGCACUGUUUCCUCUCUAUGCACCUCCGCUCACCUUUUCCUUUCCUUCCCUCUCAAUACCCCCAGCUAAAUGCUUCACUUGAAUUACACAGAUUAAUAACACAGGUGUUGGACACAUCUGGCUGUAUCAAUAAGACUGUCUUUCAGAUUCAUUAUUGUUAAUUUAGUAGCCUGUAUGAGACUGUGCAACCUGUAUUAAUGUAUAGUCUAGGAAAUUAUUUUAUUUUUUACCCUUUGAAUUAGAAUUCUUAAAAAUACUUACUCAUCCUUAUGUCAUUUUAAAUCAUAUGCUGUUUUUUUCACAAGAGUUCCUAGUGAAAAAAAAGAACACCAUAAGGGAAAAAAAAAAAACCCAUCAUAAUCUUAUUUUAUGCUGAGGUGUGAUGAACAGAUUGAUCUUUAAAUCACACUAAUUAAUUUGUUGCCACAAUAUCUAUUUUUAUUUCUGCUUUGCAUGUGUUUGCUCUGUACUUUUGGGUGAAUCGGUUUUUCUUUUCUUUUGUCCCACAAUUUUAAAUAGCUGCAGACAAAUCAAUUAAUGCUUAAUAAUUUUCCAUUUUAAAGAAUAACUGUUAGCAAUUUUUCAAAUUAACAUCUAAAUCAAAAGCAAACCAAAGGUGGUAAUUAGGAUUUAAUAGUAAAAACAGCCAGUCAAACAAGCAAAAGUGUGGGUAGAGGAAGAUGGGACUGUUACUUACAGUAAAAUCCCCCUCACUUCUCCACUGUCAAACGUUAGACAAGUUUGUUAUUCACACUGUCAACAUUUCAAUUGGCACGUGGGCUCAAACCACACAAAAUUUCACACUUGCUAUUGUCAGGGAACACCUUUUAUCUCUAACUAACUUUAUCUGGGCAAAUAAAAACACCAUGGCUAAUAACUGAACUUCAGAAACAUGCAGAGGGGCCAAUUUGGUGCAAAAGAUGACAGUUUGACAAUGUUAUGAACACUGUUUUACAGUAUUUUCAGUUGAUGGUGUUUUGAUUUGAGGUUGACAUUAUGUCCACACUUCACCAGCGGUGGAAAACCGCUGUCAGCGUGUUGCUUUGCAUUUCUUUCCCUUAGACCAAUCACAGCACAAUAGGUGGGCAGAUGGGAACUUUUGUGAGGACUUUCUACCCUAUAGUCCGCAUUUUCUUUGGUUCUGCAUAACAAUUUUUGUCCCAGCUUUCAUAUAAAAGAGAAACUGUGGAUACCACUGUUUAUCUGAUAUCAGAGGAAAUGUAUCCGUCAACAUAAAUAAAAAAAAAAAAAACAAGACUGUGGUUAA